GACGAACGCUGGCGGCGCGCCUAACACAUGCAAGUCGAACGAGCGAGAGAGAGCUUGCUUUCUCGAGCGAGUGGCGAACGGGUGAGUAACGCGUGAGGAACCUGCCUCAAAGAGGGGGACAACAGUUGGAAACGACUGCUAAUACCGCAUAAGCCCACGGCUCGGCAUCGAGCAGAGGGAAAAGGAGCAAUCCGCUUUGAGAUGGCCUCGCGUCCGAUUAGCUAGUUGGUGAGGUAACGGCCCACCAAGGCAACGAUCGGUAGCCGGACUGAGAGGUUGAACGGCCACAUUGGGACUGAGACACGGCCCAGACUCCUACGGGAGGCAGCAGUGGGGAAUAUUGCACAAUGGGGGAAACCCUGAUGCAGCGACGCCGCGUGGAGGAAGAAGGUCUUCGGAUUGUAAACUCCUGUUGUUGAGGAAGAUAAUGACGGUACUCAACAAGGAAGUGACGGCUAACUACGUGCCAGCAGCCGCGGUAAAACGUAGGUCACAAGCGUUGUCCGGAAUUACUGGGUGUAAAGGGAGCGCAGGCGGGAAGACAAGUUGGAAGUGAAAUCUAUGGGCUCAACCCAUAAACUGCUUUCAAAACUGUUUUUCUUGAGUAGUGCAGAGGUAGGCGGAAUUCCCGGUGUAGCGGUGGAAUGCGUAGAUAUCGGGAGGAACACCAGUGGCGAAGGCGGCCUACUGGGCACCAACUGACGCUGAGGCUCGAAAGUGUGGGUAGCAAACAGGAUUAGAUACCCUGGUAGUCCACACCGUAAAC
rnacentral:rRNA from 1 species